GGUCUCCAGGAUCACACCCUGGACUGAAGGUGGCGCUAAACUGCUGAGCCACCUGGGCUGCCCUAUAGUUGACUUCUUAUCAUAAUAAGGGGAAAGGGAAUAAAGGGGAAAGGAGAAAAAAUGAGUGGAAAAUAUCAGAGAGGGUGACAGAACAGGAGAGACUCCUAACUCUGGAAAACGAACAAGGGGUGGUGGAAGGGGAGGUGAGCGGGGUGGGGGUGACUGGGUGAUGGGCACUGAGGGGGGCACUUGAUGGGAUGAGCACUGGGUGUUACACUAUAUGUUGGCAAAUUGAACUCCAAUAAAGUGAAAGGAUAAAAAAAAAAUGUAAAGCAGAGGACAAUAGGACAUUGUCUUUAACGUUCUGGAAAAAAUAUAUCUUUCAAAAAUAAACUUCAAACAAAGACAUUUUCAGAUUGACAAAAGUUGAGGGAAGCUGUUCUCUGUGGACUUGCAGAAUUAGGAUCAUUAAAGGAAAGUCUUCAGCCCAAAGGGACAUGCCACCGAUAGACUAUGGAUCCAUAUGAAGGAAUUAAAAGUGCCAGAAAAGGGAAAUAUGUUGUAAAUAUAAAAGAAUUAAUUUUCUCAUUUUAAAAACUCAUCAAAAACAAUUGAUGGCUUAAAGCCAAACAGUAGCAAUUUAUUUAGGAGUUUAGAUGUGUGACAAAGGAUAAGAGGAAGGUAAAUGAAAAACACAGACAUGUGAUAGGGAAUAAUCAAUAAAAACACAAGUUGGCUCUUAAAAAGAUGAAUAAAAUUGAUAAACCCCCAAGAAGACUAAUGAAGGAAAAGGAGAGGAAACUAAAUUGCCAGUAUGAGCAAUGAAAAAGGGACUCUUACAUACAUCUUACAGAUAGAAGAGGAAAAUGGAUUAUUGUGAACCACUUUGUAUCAAUAAGCUCAAUAAAUUAGAUGAAAUGGAUAAAUUCCAUUAAAGACACAAAUUAUUGAAAUUGACACUAGAAGACUUUUUCACAAAGAAAACUCCAGGCCCAAAUGGCUAUAUUAGUGACUUUUAGAAGACACUUAAGGAAGAAAUAGUACCACUCUCACAUAAACUCUUUAAUAGAGGAAAAGGAAAGAGGAAAAUGUUUUCCAGAUAGUAUCAUGAGGCCAGCAUAACCAUGAUUUUUAAAAAAGGAAAAAAGGACCUCUGGGUGGCUCAGUGGUUGAGCCCAUGAUCCUGGGGUCCUGGGAUUGAGUCCUGCAUCAGGCUCCCCGUAGGGAGCCUGCUUCUCCCUCUGCCUAUGUCUCUGCAUCUCUCUCUGUGCCUCUCAUGAAUAAAUAAAUAAAAUCGUUAAAGAAAAAAGAAAAAAGUUACAGAACAAUAUUUCUUGCAAAAAUAAUGAAAUGCUAGCAUACUGAAUACAGCAGUAAUGAUACCUCAUGACCAAGUGGUGUUCCUCCAGGAAUGCAGGGUUGGUUUAACAUGUGAAACUCAAUGAAUGUAAUACCCCACAUUAAUUGAAUAAAAAAAGGAAAAUUAUAUGAUUUUGGCAAUAGAUGCAGAAAAAAGCAUGUGACAAAACUCAGUGUGUUUAUGACCAGAAACUCUCAGCAAACUCAGAAUAAAAGGGAAAUUCCACAAUGUGCUAAAGGACAGCUUUCAAAAACCCACAGCUGAUACCACUCAAAACUGUGAAACACUGAAUGUUCUCCCCCUUG
rnacentral:lncRNA from 1 species